UGCACAAGGGGUGCUGACGGACGUCGGCUGAGAUCGGGCAUCGGCCCGGGACCCUGGAACCUGAUCCGGGUAAUGCCGGCGUAGGAAUCAACGGAA
rnacentral:ncRNA from 1 species